UACGAAGGGGGCUAGCGUUGCUCGGAAUUACUGGGCGUAAAGGGCGCGUAGGCGGACAGUUUAGUCAGAGGUGAAAGCCCAGGGCUCAACCUUGGAAUUGCCUUUGAUACUGGCUGUCUUGAGUUCGGGAGAGGUGAGUGGAAUGCCGAGUGUAGAGGUGAAAUGCGUAGAUAUCGGGAGGAACACCGGUGGCGAAGGCGGCCUUCUGGACGGAUACUGACGCUGAGACGCGAAAGCGUGGGGAGCAAACAGG
rnacentral:rRNA from 1 species